UACGUAGGGGGCUAGCGUUGUCCGGAAUCAUUGGGCGUAAAGCGCGUGUAGGCGGUCCGGUAAGUCCGCUGUGAAAGUCGAGGGCUCAACCCUCGAAUGCCGGUGGAUACUGUCGGGCUUGAGUACGGGAGAGGCGAGUGGAAUUCCUGGUGUAGCGGUGAAAUGCGCAGAUAUCGGGAAGAACACCCGUGGCGAAGGCGGCUCUCUGGGACGGUACUGACGCUGAGACGCGAAAGCGUGGGGAGCGAACAGG
rnacentral:rRNA from 1 species